CAACUAAAUGGAAUCACACACCCUCCUAAAGGAUCCGUUUGAAGCUUUCAUGUGUAGGCAACGAGAAUGACACUUUUUCCGUCAAGCUAUACACAAAAUGAGUAACUGCAAAUCACGGGAUCCCACAGACGUGUGUCUUACCAGGAAGACUUUACAACGGUUUAAAAUGUAGACUUUGUUAGAAUUUUAUUCAAAAAAAUGGCUCCCAAACGUUUUUAGUCCUCCGACCUGGGACAAGUUAAUUAACGUCUCUAACCCUCAGUUUGUUUGUUACACAAUGGGAUGAUGAUGAUAGUACCUACUUCACAGGACUGUUGUGAGGACUGAAUAAGAUAAGAAUUAACGAGGCUUUAGCCCUCACAUGGCUGGGUCGGCGUUCCACGCUCAGGUGUCCUGUUGGAACCACUGUGUGACGAUUAUGUGGCGAAGAGAUGGGCUGGUAAUGAAAGUGAAUUAAACAUAUCUGGGGAUACACUGUUGUACAUCUGAUGUCGUAAGAAAAACUCUCAUCCAGACUCGAUAAUUUAAAAAUAUGUGUGCGUACCUACACCCAUACAUACGCGCACAGGUGUUCACGUGGCCUUACCUGUUUUGAAUGUUGUAUGCAGGGAAUACAGGGGAGAUCGUAAGUAAAAUUACAUCCAACUAUGCAAAUUUAAUGAAAAUUUUAAAUCUAA